ACCGGUGCUAAUACCGGAUGCCCUCACCGGGUCGCAUGGCCUGGUGAGGAAAUGGAUUCCGCUUCGGGAGGGGCUCGCGGCCUAUCAGCUUGUUGGUGGGGUAAUGGCCCACCAAGGCUUCGACGGGUAGCUGGUCUGAGAGGACGGCCAGCCACACUGGGACUGAGACACGGCCCAGACUCCUACGGGAGGCAGCAGUAGGGAAUCUUGCGCAAUGGGCGAAAGCCUGACGCAGCAACGCCGCGUGGGGGAUGAAGGCCUUCGGGUUGUAAACCCCUUUCAGCAGGGACGAAAUUGACGGUACCUGCAGAAGAAGCCCCGGCCAACUACGUGCCAGCAGCCGCGGUAAUACGUAGGGGGCGAGCGUUGUCCGGAUUCAUUGGGCGUAAAGAGCUCGUAGGCGGCUUGGCAAGUCGGGUGUGAAAACUCCAGGCUCAACCUGGAGACGCCACCCGAUACUGCCA
rnacentral:rRNA from 1 species